GCUUUAUCCUGACGAAAGUUCAAACUCUCGAAACUUUCGUGUAGUAUCGGGGGCGGUCGUGCGGAGCCGAUUGUAAACCGCCUAAGCUCCUCCUCCUUUCUUCGUUUAGGAUAUGUCUAGGCCGAAACAGAAUAAAAACGUGUUCUUCUUUCAAAUUUUUGGGCAAAUAGACAAAAAUUUGACGUUUAUCCCUAGAUCAUAUAUAUAGAAAUACAUUUUUAAGAUAUUUGUAUAUAAAUUAUAUAUGAUCUAGAGAUUUAUCAUGUGACGAGCAGAUUUUAUGCAAAUAUUUAAAUUAAUCUGUGAAUUAAUCUUUAAUAGCAUUAUGUAAUAGUUAAUAUCUUUUAUGGGUAAUUACCCUUUUAUUGCUGGUUUGGCAGAUUAAGAUUUAUGAUGUUUUCAUAAUGUUUUCCGUCAAAAGAAAUUUAUAUUUAUGAAUUAGUUUUCAGCGGAAGGCUUUAGUAAAAAAUUCGAACCUUAGUAACCGUUUUCUUUUUGCCAAAAAGGUAGAUAUUUUUUUAUGUUAGAAGUUAUAACUUAAUUGGGCAUUGGGCAUCAAAAUAAACAUGUGAAUAUCUUGACUUGGUGUUUGUUGUCUACUUUAAGUGGUACUGAAUUUAUUAAAAUAAACGUUGUUUUCUACA